UUAAAUUGAAGAGUUUGAUCAUGGCUCAGAUUGAACGCUGGCGGAAGGCCUAACACAUGCAAGUCGAACGGUAACAGGAAGCAGCUUGCUGCUUCGCUGACGAGUGG
rnacentral:rRNA from 1 species